rnacentral:sRNA from 1 species
GCUCAGCAUUUGGGGACGCUCUCAGCUCUCGGCGCACGGCCCAGGUUAUCUUGUAGCAUAGCAACUUCGGAUUUCACUCUGCCCGGAGAGUUUCCCGCUUGGUUGAACACAUUGGCCUCAGGAAGAGACGCUCUUCUGGCUCUUCCGUGACGCAUUACAACAGCCAUCCAGGCCGGUCCAGUUACGCUGCAUUCCUUCCUCCUUCCCAUUUCGGCGGACGUGCAUCCAGCUAGAGACUAGCAGAUUGAAUCGAUAUUCAUUAAGUUAGGAAUGGUUGAUGGUCCUAAGAGCCUCAGCAACCGAGAGGAGUCUUGUUAUUUAAAAAACAACGAUACUGGGCGUGGUCGUGGGCCUGUAGUCCCAGCUGCUCUAGCUAGUGGAUCUCUUGAGUCCAAGGCCAAUGUGAGGAACAUAGCAAGACCCAGUCUCAAAAAAUAAAUACAUAAAAUAAUAAUAAUAAAGAACCCUCGUUCACCUAAACAGAUCUAUAAUUUAUAGAACGUAAAGCAGUAAUAUUCAGGCAAUAUUAAGGAAGAUUUUUGGUAAGACUGGGGCAGCAGAGGUGCCCUUGAUGGGCAAGGGCCAGGAGUGUUAACAGAGUCCUGCUUAGUAAUUUCUUCCGUUCUUCCAAGUCUGUCGAUUAUCUAAAGGUCAAGGGUUUCUCCAAAAGUGUCCCUUGCAUCUGCAGUGGGAGGAUGUGACAUCUAUGUGCAUUUUUACAAUUGGAGGUUUGUGAUUUGGAGACCGUUUAGAUUUUGUAAUUUCCCGCAGUGCCAACUAGACUGCCUGUGGUAAAUGCCCAGGAAAUAUUGCUGACUCACUGACUUUGAUUAGGAGCUCAGUCUUGCACUGGAGUCUCAAUAUUUAGCAUCUUGUGUCUUUGAGCUAUUAAACUAUGGUAUUGAUUGACAUU